AGGCCCCCCAAGCUCGCCUCGUGGCUCAUCCCCUUCGCGCGGCCACCCCUGCUCGUUGCUGCCGGGGGAGAGCCCGUGCUCUAAGCUACCCCUCCCACUCACCUCUCAGGAUUCCUCAAUAGCUAGCAACCUGCCAACCAGUUUCUUUCUUUUUCUUCCUCCAAAUUAGCAAGCAACAGGUCAAAUAUAAUCAGCAGCACACCUCUUCUCUGUUCUUCUGUCCACCAUAAUUGCAGCAGCAACCAGUAGUUCUCCCUUCUUCCUGCCGGCAAGCACAACGAGCUGAUCAGGAACCCAGCUAACCUUCUCUCCCUCCAAUAGCAGCAUGCUAAAUCCAUCUCAAAAAUCCCCAAGCUCCAACAUCACCACCAUGACCUCAUCUCUUUCCAUCGAUUCUUGCUGGACCUCCAACCAAAGCACGACAUCUCUUGAGCUUCUCCUCCUACCCGAGCCACAAAUCCAGCAUGGGCUCCUCCCAACCCAUCUCCCUCAUGGGCAAUUCAAGCCAUGGCCUGCACCUCUGCUCCUCUCAAUCACAUAGCUGCUGAGUUGGGGCAGAUGCCACAGGAUGAGCCAGUCGAAGGUGACACAGAUGCGAAUGUUGACUGGGGAGGCGGAGGUGGGGAACACAAGGACGAGCAGCACGGGGGAAGGGAAGGCACACCCUGCCCUAUCCCGGCUGCCGGCAGUCUCCUGCUCCACGCAAGGAAGGGGCGUGCCGUCCUCUCCUUCUUCCACAUUCUUCUCCUCUGCCUACGCCUAACCUUGGUGAGCAAGCUCCGCUCGCCAGUGAAAUCCUGACGACUUCCUACACCAAAACCAAAUCCUUCCGGCUAACAGAUCCUACACCUCCUCAUCAUCCGCCUCGACUCAUCUGCGCUACUCGCCGUUCCCUCACCAUGCAGGAAUUGAAGCUUUUCCAUCCGCUGAGCCCCACCGAGCACACCUCAACCAUUGGUGACACUUGCGGAGGUGGCGGCGGUGGCAAAAUGCGACGGCACGGGCAGGCCAGCCACGCUGCGGGCUCGCGCGAAAGCCGAAUGGAGGCUGGAGCAAGCGCCGGUUUGGCCGGGCCCAGGUGAUGCGGCCGCGCGGGGUGGGUGGUGUCGGCGGGCGGUCCACGGCGCGAGGCGGCAGCCGGCGGACGGUGCAUCUGCGCAGGGCGGGCGGUGACGGCGUAGAGGGGCAGCCGGGCUGGGGACGCGCCGGCGGCGGAUGGAGGUAGCCCGGCGGGAACGUGCAUGGGAAGAGGUCGGGCAGGCAGAUUGGGGAAGACUGCGCGUCGCAAAUAUAUGCAGGGUGAUGGGGUGUGUUUUCGCGUCGUGAAAAAAUUGGAAAGGUUUGGGGAACUGUUGGAGUGCCUUUUUUUCAAUGUUCCCCCUAAAGAAGUUAUUAGGAGUGAGAUAGAGAUACUCUUGGAGUUGCUCUGAGACGACGAUCUACAAGGGAAGGGAAGGGGAUCCAAACUGCAAAAACAGGAAAGGGGCAUAUAUUUUUGGGAAAAAGAGAAGUGCAGAGGGGUUUAGAAAAAAAACCGAGAAGGGCUUCACUGCAAUUUUCUCGUCUAUAAUUCAAGCAGAUAGAGAAAUAUCCUAUGCUUUCUUGUUACCAUAUAUUAGUAGCAUCAUCCUCUCUUACAGUUCCUGUGCAUUUAACUAUUCGCGAAUCCUACCCCGAGAGGGGUCUCCCGUUUGCGUUAAGCCGACAGCCCUACUCAUCUUCGUCUGUUUUGGAUUGGACGCGCACGCUGCGCUCGCGGAAACGACGGGACGCGCUCGCUCCGCGAGCGGAGUCGCGCCGAGGAGAGAAUCUCAUCCUCCCUUCUCCUCUUUCCCCUUCCGCGGCCUCCCCCGUGUUCGUCCUAUCCAACGGUGAGGCCAGGCGAUGGUGGUCGACGGCCGGCGAGGGAGGGAGGCCACACGCCGAGAAUCUCCGGGCGGCGGCGACGCACGGCCAACAGAGGAAGGCUUCACUCCGCGGCACUCCAUUCGCCGCGAAUCUCCGGCGAGUGGCGGCGCGCGUAGAGCGGAGCGGCCGUCACACGCAGCGAGCAGAGGGGAGCCUACACUCGCAAACGGAGGGAGGCGACGAGCUCGGGUCUGCUACCCCCGCUCCCUGUAUCUCUUCUCCACACCCUCGCCGUGAUUCAAAUCGCGGCGGUGCCGUCCACUACGAGGCGUAGCAGCAAACGGAGGGAGGCGACGCGAGGUUCUUCGUUGAGCCGAGGGCGUGCGUGGAGCUGCUACCCCUGCGUCCUGAACGACUCCUCGCCCCUCGCUGUCGACUACGCGCCAUAGCAGGGCCAGCCAUUCAAUCAGCCGACGACCCGAGUCAGCAUUCAAGUAGUAUUGUCAACAACCAGUGUUUGUCACAUUUCAACAGGUAUGACACAAUUACUUUACCUUUCCCAAUCAUUUAGUUUGUUUAAAGUUACAAAACUUAAAUAAAUAUUGCUAGCAGUAGCUUUAGUUUUUUCUGAGUGGGGUGCUGAGUUGCAUGAUGAGUCUUUAAUUGGGGUCUAAAAAUCCAACGGAGCUGGUAUGCAGUAUGUGGGAGUGAGACUCUCUCACCACUGGAUACCCAGUAAUUCCUGGUUUGGUGGCCCCUUGAUGCAUGCAAGCUUAGCACCUACACUUUUUUAUAGCUCACUUAUUUGUUUUAAUUUCCAUUAUUCAUGAACUUGUUCUGAUAUCAUCAUUCCUAUAUUUUGUCACAUUUUCGAGGUGCAUCCAAGUCCGUGACACCUCAUAUUGGGGUAGUGCAGCAGCAUUCUACUUUUGACAUCAGCUGACCGUUCAUAUACGUAGUAUGCCACAACCAUGCACAAUUUUUUUUCCCAUUUUUUAUUGUGAUCUAGUUAAUAUAUUCCUUAUUUCAAGUAACUUGUCUUUUUAUUUGAAGUCACCAAUUUUGCUAUUUCACAUAAUUUUUAUGGAAGCAACUAAUUCUAUAUUUAUAUUACAUAGGAAGUACCUAAGCAUAUAUUCAAUGACACAAGAAGUAACUACUUCUGUAUUUUUAUUACUUAGGAUGUAACUUACCAUAUAGUCAGUCACAUAAUAAGUAACUUGCCAGACUUGUUUCAUAUUUGCGUGCUUAAUGUUGAUAACAAAACACUAUCUGUUUUCUGCUGAUAUAACCAAAGUUAUUCUGUUUUCGUAACAGACAAAGACCAUUAGAGUUGGCAUUCAAGAUCACAAGGGAGCUACUGCAUGCACUUGACUCAAUUUCGAUGAAAUUUGUUUAUUAAUCCCACUGAUUAAAGUCAUCCUUUUUGCUUUCUGCAUCCAGUAGACUAUAAUUCCUGCUAGCCAUGUGCUGUUGUCGGUCUAGGAUGAGUUUUGGUAGUUUCCUGUUCUAUUUUCCCAUACUAUAUUUUGUCUGUCACUGCCAUUUGUCAUAAAAAGCUGCAAUUACCUCACUGCCAUUGCACUAUUCUUUUUUUGCUAAUGACCUUAACUUACUAUAGGAAGUAACUUUACCACAUAUGCAGUCUCAUAAGAAAUAACUAAUUCUGUAUUUAUAUUCCAUACAGAGUAACUUACCACAUAUGCAAUAUCAUAAGAUGUAACUAAUUCUGCAUUUAUAUUCCAUACAAAGUAACUUACCACAUAUGCAGUAUCAUAAGAAGCAACUAAUUCUGUAUUUAUAUUCCAUACAAAGUAACUUACCACAUAUGCAGUCACAUAUCAUUUCAACCAUUUAGUUAGUAUCUAGCCAUCUAUUCACAUCAAUAUGAUGCAACCAGCCCCUAUUUUUUUUGAAACAUGCAUGAUGUAAGUAGCCAUUUAUUUACAUGACAUAUGAAGUAUAGUCAAGUUCCUCUGCUUUUUUAUGAUUUUUGCAGUUGCAUCCAAGGCAGCAUCAGUGCAUAUUUUUUGUGUUAGCUGUGUGUUCUCGACAACCUGUGUUUGUCACAUAUUCAACAGGUGCAUCUAAGUCAGCGACAGCUCAUAUCGGGGGUGGUGCAGCGUCAUCUACCUUGUCAUCAAGUGACCGUUCAUAUCCGUAGGGAUAGAGAUCUAAAUCUCAAGUACAAGGAGUUACCGGAUGCAAGGACUUCAUGUUUAAGCAAUAAAAAAACAAGGCUUUUUUGUGUGUAUGGGCAAUAAAAAACAAUACUUCAUGUUACAGGAUGCACGAUUAUGAACCACUCAUAAAUCUGAUUGAUGUAACUAUUUUUUUUUUCAGUCCCAAUCUGGGAGAUCAGCUGUUGGAUGUUUAUGUUUCA